UUCGACGAUACGCGAAGAACCUUACCUGGACUUGACAUAGUAAGAACUUUUAAGAGAUUAGAAGGUGUCUGCUUGCAGAAACUUAUAUACAGGUGCUGCACGGCUGUCGUCAGCUCGUGUCGUGAGAUGUUGGGUUAAGUCCCGCAACGAGCGCAACCCUCGUGAUUAGUUGCUAACAGUUCGGCUGAGAACUCUAAUCAGACUGCCUGGGUAACCAGGAGGAAGGUGAGGACGACGUCAAGUCAUCAUGGCCCUUAUGUCCAGGGCUACACACGUGCUACAAUGGGGCAUACAAAGAGCCGCGAUACCGUGAGGUGGAGCAAAUCUCAAAAAUGCCUCCCAGUUCGGAUAGCACUCUGCAACUCGAGUGCUUGAAGUUGGAAUCGCUAGUAAUCGUAGAUCAGCAAUGCUACGGUGAAUACGUUCCCGGGUCUUGUACUCACCGCCCGUCACACCAUGGGAAUUGAAUUCAUUCGAAGCGGGGAUGCUAAAAUAGCUACCUUCCA
rnacentral:rRNA from 1 species